rnacentral:rRNA from 1 species
AUUGAACGCUGGCGGCAGGCUUAACACAUGCAAGUCGAGCGGAGAUGAGGUGCUUGCACCUUAUCUUAGCGGCGGACGGGUGAGUAAUGCUUAGGAAUCUGCCUAUUAGUGGGGGACAACAUUCCGAAAGGAAUGCUAAUACCGCAUACGUCCUACGGGAGAAAGCAGGGGAUCUUCGGACCUUGCGCUAAUAGAUGAGCCUAAGUCGGAUUAGCUAGUUGGUGGGGUAAAGGCCUACCAAGGCGACGAUCUGUAGCGGGUCUGAGAGGAUGAUCCGCCACACUGGGACUGAGACACGGCCCAGACUCCUACGGGAGGCAGCAGUGGGGAAUAUUGGACAAUGGGGGGAACCCUGAUCCAGCCAUGCCGCGUGUGAAGAAGGCCUUAUGGUUGUAAAGCACUUUAAGCGAGGAGGAGGCUACUGAGACUAAUACUCUUGGAUAGUGGACGUUACUCGCAGAAUAAGCACCGGCUAACUCUGUGCCAGCCGCCGCAGUAACAC